UACGUAGGGUGCAAGCGUUGUCCGGAAUUAUUGGGCGUAAAGAGCUCGUAGGCGGUUUGUUGCGUCGGCUGUGAAAUCCCGAGGCUCAACCUCGGGUCUGCAGUCGAUACGAGCAAACUAGAGUGUUGCAGGGGAGACUGGAAUUCCUGGUGUAGCGGUGAAAUGCGUAGAGAUCGGGAAGAACACCAGUGGCGAAGGCGGCCGGCUGGGGGCGCCCUGACGCUGAGGCGCGAGAGCGUGGGGAGCAAACCGG
rnacentral:rRNA from 1 species